CUGCUAAGGGCUGGAUGAUUCAUAUGCUGACUGUCAGUACCAGUGGGCUAAAUAUGAAAGAAGUUGCUGGAAGCUUCAUUCCAGGGCAGGGAAUGGAAACUGUCCUUCCAACCACAGCAGCUAUGGCCCUGUCAGACCCCAGAAGCUGGCCACAUAUAUACACUAACUUCCCAGCUCAUAGGGCCCCCAGCCUGACCAAAAUUGCUAUGCAUAUGUAACCUCUCAGCUCUUUGCUUUCAUUCUUCCCUGUGUUGAAUGAAAUUCUAAAGCUGUUGUCAGGACAGGGAAGACAGUUUUCUAGACUAGCUAUCUUUCCUGUUUGGUUACACUGAAAAUAAAUUCCAUCUUACUUUGCCAUCAUUUCUCUGUCUUUGUUAAACAGACUGCAGAGGUAACAGGUGACAGGAGCUGAUACCCCUAGGCUCUGGUCUCUGGCCACGGACUCUGGUAACAACUGAUGCAUAAGGAAAUAGUGAAGGUGUUAGGAAGAGUUUCUAGAGGAAAGGAAUGUAGCUUUCUCAGUCAUUUUCUCCUUCCCGCUGACUAGAAUGUGAGUGGAAAUGCUGCAGUUCCAGCGUUUGCCUUAGACCACGAGGUGGCUGUGGAAAUGGGAACUCUGCAUGAAGGAGCAGCAAGACAGAAGCCCAAGUUCCUGGUCCCAAGGAGCACAAUUCCAUUCCUG
rnacentral:lncRNA from 1 species